AAAAAAGCAGGAUGCUUUGCUCUUUAUAAGCAGUGUCCCCAUAAGCUUUAGGAACAUUAUGAUCAUUGUUCUUGGGUGAACCAUUGGACACAGUACUAUGUGUUUUAUGUCUUUUGGUUCAAUAAACGAUGACACAUUU
rfam:Triticum aestivum genome assembly, contig: Triticum_aestivum_CS42_TGACv1_scaffold_373977_5AL